AUGCGGGACUCAUCAGGGGCCUCGCAAUUGGAAUGAGCGCACUUUAAAUCGUUCGACGAGGAUCUAUUGGAGGGCAAGUCUGGUGCCAUCAGCCGCGGUAAUUCCAGCUCCAAUAGCGUAUAUUAAAGUUGUUGCAGUUAAAAAGCUCGUAGUUGGAUCUGGGGUUCGGGUCGGCGGUUUGCCGCUUCGGCGGCUACUGCCGUGCUCGACUCUUACUAGCCGGUGCUCUUGCGGUGCUCUUCAUCGAGUGCCGUAGGAGCCUGGCAUGUUUACUUUGAAAAAAUUAGAGUGCUCAAAGCAGGCGAUUCCGCCUGAAUAGUGUUGCAUGGAAUAAUGGAAUAGGACCUCGGUUCUAUUUUGUUGGUUUUCGGAACUUGAGGUAAUGAUUAAGAGGGACGGUCGGGGGCAUUCGUAUUUCGGUGUUAGAGGUGAAAUUCUUGGAUCGCUGAAAGACGGACAAAUGCGAAAGCAUCUGCCAAGAACGUCUCCAUUAAUCAAGAACGAAAGUCAGAGGUUCGAAGACGAUCAGACACCGUCCUAGUUCUGACCAUAAACGAUGCCAACUAGCGAUCCGCAGUGGUUGCUAUAAACGGACUCUGCGAGCAGCUUCCGGGAAACCAAAGUGUUUGGGUUCCGGGGGAAGUAUGGUUGCAAAGCUGAAACUUAAAGGAAUUGACGGAAGGGCACCACCAGGAGUGGAGCCUGCGGCUUAAUUUGACCCAACACGGGGAAACUCACCCGGUCCGGACACUGUAAGGAUUGACAGAUCGAGAGCUCUUUCUUGAUUCGGUGGAUGGUGGUGCAUGGCCGUUCUUAGUUGGUGGAGUGAUUUGUCUGGUUAAUUCCGAUAACGAACGAGACUCUAGCCUGCUAACUAGUUGCGCCGUGUUCAUACGCGGCUGUAGACUUCUUAGAGGGACAGGUGGCGUUUAGCCACACGAAAUUGAGCAAUAACAGGUCUGUGAUGCCCUUAGAUGUCCGGGGCCGCACGCGCGCUACACUGAAGGAGUCAGCGUGUGCUAUCCGGGCUCGGAAGAGUUCGGUAACCCGUUGAAACUCCUUCGUGCUUGGGAUUGUGGCUUGUAAUUAUCGCGCAUGAACGAGGAAUUCCCAGUAAGUGCAAGUCAUCAGCUUGCGCUGACUACGUCCCUGCCCUUUGUACACACCGCCCGUCGCUACUACCGAUUGAAUGGUUUAGCAAGGUACUCGGAUAGGUCUCGAUCUUGUACGAAAGUGCGGGAUCUGUGGCCGAGAAGAAGGCCAAACUUGAUCAUUUAGAGGAAGUAAA
rnacentral:rRNA from 1 species